rnacentral:rRNA from 1 species
AGCAGCCGCGGUAAUUCCAGCUCCAAUAGCGUAUAUUAAAGUUGUUGCAGUUAAAAAGCUCGUAGUUGAACUUCGGGGUCUACCCAUUGGUCAGGCUUAAUUGUCUGCACUGGUGAGAUGGAUCUCUACCUUCUGAGGAACUUCCAUGCCAUUUAUUUAGUGUGAUUGGAAAUCAGGACUGUUACUUUGAAAAAAUUAGAGUGUUUAAAGCAGACUAUCGUCUGAAUACAUUAGCAUGGAAUAAUGAAAUAGGACGGACUGAUUCUAUUUCGUUGGUUCUAGGAUUACCGUAAUGAUUAAUAGGGAUAGUUGGGGGCAUUAGUAUUCAAUUGUCAGAGGUGAAAUUCUUGGAUUUAUUGAAGACUUAACUACUGCGAAAGCAUUUGCCAAGGAUGUUUUCAUUAAUCAAGAACGAAAGUUAGGGGGAUCGAAGACGAUCAGAUACCGUCGUAGUCUUAACCAUAAACUAUGCCGACUAGGGAUCGGACGAAGUUAAUUUUAUAA